rnacentral:rRNA from 1 species
GGAAUUGACGGGGACCCGCACAAGCGGUGGAUGAUGUGGAUUAAUUCGAUGCAACGCGAAGAACCUUACCUACCCUUGACAUGUCCGGAACUUGCCAGAGAUGGCUUGGUGCCCGAAAGGGAACCGGAACACAGGUGCUGCAUGGCUGUCGUCAGCUCGUGUCGUGAGAUGUUGGGUUAAGUCCCGCAACGAGCGCAACCCUUGUCCUUAGUUGCUACGCAAGAGCACUCUAAGGAGACUGCCGGUGACAAACCGGAGGAAGGUGGGGAUGACGUCAAGUCCUCAUGGCCCUUAUGGGUAGGGCUUCACACGUCAUACAAUGGUCGGUACAGAGGGUUGCCAAGCCGCGAGGUGGAGCCAAUCCCACAAAGCCGAUCGUAGUCCGGAUGUUCUCUGCAACUCGAGAGCAUGAAGUCGGAAUCGCUAGUAAUCGCAGGUCAGCAUACUGCGGUGAAUACGUUCCCGGGUCUU